rnacentral:rRNA from 1 species
UACAUGGGGUGCAGACGUUGCUCGGAAUUAUUGGGCGUAAAGCGCGCGUAGGCGGUUACUCAAGUCGGAUGUGAAAGCCCUCGGCUUAACUGAGGAAGUGCACCCGAAACUGAGUAGCUAGAGUACUAAAGAGGGUCGCGGAAUUCCCGGUGUAGAGGUGAAAUUCGUAGAUAUCGGGAGGAACACCGGUGGCGAAGGCGGCGACCUGGGUCGAGACUGACGCUGAGGCGCGAAAGCGUGGGGAGCAAACAGG